rnacentral:rRNA from 1 species
UGGGGAAUUGUUCGCAAUGGGCGCAAGCCUGACGACGCAACGCCGCGUGGAGGAUGAAGGUCUUCGGAUUGUAAACUCCUGUUGCCCGGGACGAAUGGCUUCAACCUAACACGUUGGAGUGUGACGGUACCGGGUGAGGAAGCCCCGGCUAACUCUGUGCCAGCAGCCGCGGUAAUACAGAGGGGGCAAGCGUUGUUCGGAAUUACUGGGCGUAAAGGGCGCGUAGGCGGCCUGCUAAGUCGAACGUGAAAUCCCUGGGCUCAACCCAGGAACUGCGUCCGAUACUGGUUGGCUUGAAUCCGGGAGAGGGAUGUGGAAUUCCAGGUGUAGCGGUGAAAUGCGUAGAUAUCUGGAGGAACACCGGUGGCGAAGGCGACAUCCUGGACCGGUAUUGACGCUGAGGCGCGAAAGCCAGGGGAGCAAACGGGAUUAGAUACCCCCGGUAGUCCUGGCCCUAAACGAUGAAUGCUUGGUGUGGUGGGUAUCGAUCCCUACCGUGCCG